rnacentral:rRNA from 1 species
AACGAACGCUGGCGGCGUGUUUAAGACAUGCAAGUCGCACGGAGGAAUUUUGAUAGCAAUAUUAAGGUUUCUCAGUGGCGCACGGGUGAGUAACACGUGAAUUACAUGCCCUUCAGUGGGGAAUAGCCCAGGGAAACUUGGAUUAAUACCCCAUGGUAUCGCAAGAUUAAAGGUGGCCGCAAGGCUGUCGCUGAAGGAUUGGUUCGCGCCCUAUCAGCUUGUUGGUGAGGUAACGGCUCACCAAGGCUACGACGGGUACCUGGUCUGAGAGGACGAUCAGGCACACUGGAACUGAGACACGGUCCAGACACCUACGGGUGGCAGCAGUCGAGAAUAAUUCACGAUGGGGGCAACCCUGAUGGUGCAACGCCGCGUGGAGGAUGACGGUCUUCGGAUUGUAAACUCCUGUCAUCCGGGAGUAAGACCUGGUCGUUAACAGCGAACAGGGUUGAUAGUACCGGAAGAGGAAAGGACGGCUAACUUCGUGCCAGCAGCCGCCGUAAGAC